CGGGCAUAGCAAUAUGUCAGCGGCAGACGGGUGAGUAACGCGUGGGAACGUACCUUUUGGUUCGGAACAACUGAGGGAAACUUCAGCUAAUACCGGAUAAGCCCUUACGGGGAAAGAUUUAUCGCCGAAAGAUCGGCCCGCGUCUGAUUAGCUAGUUGGUGAGGUAAUGGCUCACCAAGGCGACGAUCAGUAGCUGGUCUGAGAGGAUGAUCAGCCACAUUGGGACUGAGACACGGCCCAAACUCCUACGGGAGGCAGCAGUGGGGAAUAUUGGACAAUGGGCGCAAGCCUGAUCCAGCCAUGCCGCGUGAGUGAUGAAGGCCCUAGGGUUGUAAAGCUCUUUUGUGCGGGAAGAUAAUGACGGUACCGCAAGAAUAAGCCCCGGCUAACUUCGUGCCAGCAGCCGCGGUAAUACGAAGGGGGCUAGCGUUGCUCGGAAUCACUGGGCGUAAAGGGUGCGUAGGCGGGUCUUUAAGUCAGGGGUGAAAUCCUGGAGCUCAACUCCAGAACUGCCUUUGAUACUGAAGAUCUUGAGUUCGGGAGAGGUGAGUGGAACUGCGAGUGUAGAGGUGAAAUUCGUAGAUAUUCGCAAGAACACCAGUGGCGAAGGCGGCUCACUGGCCCGAUACUGACGCUGAGGCACGAAAGCGUGUGGAGCAAACAGGAUUAGAUACCCUGGUAGUCCACGCUGUAAACGAUGAAUGCCAGCCGUUAGUGGGUUUACUCACUAGUGGCGCAGCUAACGCUUUAAGCAUUCCGCCUGGGGAGUACGGUCGCAAGAUUAAAACUCAAAGGAAUUGACGGGGGCCCGCACAAGCGGUGGAAGCAUGUGGGUUUAAUUCGACGCAACGCGCAGAACCUUACCAGCCCCUUGACAUCCCGGGUCGGCGGACUUCAAAAGACGGAGUUCUUCAGUUCGGCUGGAACGGGAGACAGGUGCUGCAU
rnacentral:rRNA from 1 species